GGAUUUCGGGUAGGGGGCGCCGGUCCGCUUCGGUGUGCACUGGCGGCCCAUACCUUCUUGUCGGGGAUGCGCUCUGGUAUUGAUUUAUCGGACGCAGUGUCGGCGCAGUUACUUUGAAAAAAUUAGAGUGUUCAAAGCAGGCUUUCGCUUGAAUACAUUAGCAUGGAAUAACAUGAUAGGACUCCGGUUCCAUUGUGUUGGUCUUCGGGACUGGAGUAAUGAUUAAGAGGGACAGUUGGGGGCAUUCGUAUUUCAUUGUCAGAGGUGAAAUUCUUGGAUUUAUGAAAGACGAACUUCUGCGAAAGCAUUUGCCAAGGAUGUUUUCAUUAAUCAAGAACGAAAGUUGAGGGCUCGAAGAUGAUUAGAUACCAUCGUAGUCUCAACCAUAAACGAUGCCGACUAGGGAUUGGCGGAUGUUACUUGAUGACUU
rnacentral:rRNA from 1 species